AUAGAAACGGAAAUGUGUGCUCACUUGGAACUAGACAGAGAAGAUUAGCAUGGCCCCUGUACAAGGAUGACAUGCAAAUUCGCGAAGCGUUUCAUACUUUU
rnacentral:snRNA from 1 species